CCUGUACUUCCUGAGUCCCAAACAGAAGCUUCACAGCACAUGGCAUGGAAAAGCCUUGGAGUUCUCAUUACACAGGCAUAUCCCUGCAUGUCUUGCUGACUCAACAGGUGUAUCCCCUUGGUCCUUUCCAUGGGCUCAUUGUACAGCUGAUGACCCUCAAUGGGCCAUCAAAUAGGCUAGGCAGUGCUGAUGCCAAAAUGUCUGGGGAUGUCGCCCAGAAACACUGCGCAAGUCUGGAAAUACAGAUAUACCCUACAUAUCUGUAACUCACAAUACAAAGGUGAUACAAACAUAGAAACAAAAUUAUCAUACUUGGCAAAACAUAACAUUUUCACUGACACCUGGCAGGGCAUAUCUAGCACGAGUCAUUGCAAUUUUAUCAGAUUAUAUUACUAUUUUAUUAUUAAUACCAAAGUGUCUCACAAUUCCAUGCAGUGUCACACUUGGUAAGCCAGUGAAUUCCCAGGACCAGUUCCCUAGGUCCUUGCAGAUGCUGAACAUUGUGCUUAUGAGGGAUUAAAAUACUCACAUAUCUGCUGGGGACACACACACAGACACUGUGUCAGUCUAUACUCCUGUAUUCACUCUUCUAGAAAAUUCUGAUCAAUUUUGUACACAGCAUGGCUUGUGAGGUAUCAUU